AUGAAACAAGUCUGCGGUAGUUCAAAACUGGAAUUGGCACAAUAUCACGAAGUGACCGCCUUCACUCAAUUUGGGUCAGACCUUGAUGCUGUGACUCGGGCAUUACUCAAUAGAGGUGCAAGGCCUACAGAAGUGCCCAAACAACCACAAUAUGAACCACUUCCAAUUGAAAAACAAAUUGUUGUGAUUUAUGCUGCUGUCAACGGCUUCUGUGAUUGA
rnacentral:rRNA from 1 species